GACGAACGCUGGCGGCGUGCUUAACACAUGCAAGUCGAACGGAAAGGCCCUGCUUUUGUGGGGUGCUCGAGUGGCGAACGGGUGAGUAACACGUGAGUAACCUGCCCUUGACUUUGGGAUAACUUCAGGAAACUGGGGCUAAUACCGGAUAGGAGCUCCUGCUGCAUGGUGGGGGUUGGAAAGUUUCGGCGGUUGGGGAUGGACUCGCGGCUUAUCAGCUUGUUGGUGGGGUAGUGGCUUACCAAGGCUUUGACGGGUAGCCGGCCUGAGAGGGUGACCGGCCACAUUGGGACUGAGAUACGGCCCAGACUCCUACGGGAGGCAGCAGUGGGGAAUAUUGCACAAUGGGCGGAAGCCUGAUGCAGCAACGCCGCGUGCGGGAUGACGGCCUUCGGGUUGUAAACCGCUUUCGCCUGUGACGAAGCGUGAGUGACGGUAAUGGGUAAAGAAGCACCGGCUAACUACGUGCCAGCAGCCGCGGUGAUACGUAGGGUGCGAGCGUUGUCCGGAUUUAUUGGGCGUAAAGGGCUCGUAGGUGGUUGAUCGCGUCGGAAGUGUAAUCUUGGGGCUUAACCCUGAGCGUGCUUUCGAUACGGGUUGACUUGAGGAAGGUAGGGGAGAAUGGAAUUCCUGGUGGAGCGGUGGAAUGCGCAGAUAUCAGGAGGAACACCAGUGGCGAAGGCGGUUCUCUGGGCCUUUCCUGACGCUGAGGAGCGAAAGCGUGGGGAGCGAACAGGCUUAGAUACCCUGGUAGUCCACGCUGUAAACGGUGGGUACUAGGUGUGGGGUCCAUUCCACGGGUUCCGUGCCGUAGCUAACGCUUUAAGUACCCCGCCUGGGGAGUACGGCCGCAAGGCUAAAACUCAAAGGAAUUGACGGGGCCCCGCACAAGCGGCGGAGCAUGCGGAUUAAUUCGAUGCAACGCGUAGAACCUUACCUGGGUUUGACAUGGAUCGGGAGUGCUCAGAGAUGGGUGUGCCUCUUUUGGGGUCGGUUCACAGGUGGUGCAUGGCUGUCGUCAGCUCGUGUCGUGAGAUGUUGGGUUAAGUCCCGCGACGAGCGCAACCCUUGUUCACUGUUGCCAGCACGUUAUGGUGGGGACUCAGUGGAGACCGCCGGGGUCAACUCGGAGGAAGGUGGGGAUGACGUCAAGUCAUCAUGCCCCUCAUGUCCAGGGCUUCACGCAUGCUACAAUGGCUGGUACAGAGAGUGGCGAGCCUGUGAGGGUGAGCGAAUCUCGGAAAGCCGGUCUCAGUUCGGAUUGGGGUCUGCAACUCGACCUCAUGAAGUCGGAGUCGCUAGUAAUCGCAGAUCAGCAACGCUGCGGUGAAUACGUUCCCGGGGCU
rnacentral:rRNA from 1 species